GGGAGAGGGAGGUUAGAGGAAGAGAGAGAGAGCAAAAGAAACACGUUUGUCUUCCUGGCGGACUGCAUUAUUUCCAAUUUCUGUGCGGCUUCCUCCCAACCGCCGGCUGCUGCCCCAGGAGGGAGUUCACCAGAGAGGGAGUGGAAGUAUGGUUCUCGUGCCGCACAGCCCACUGGCCGUUAGCUGUCCCACACUGGAUGCGGCGGCCCGUGGACCUUUCUGUAAUAGGGAAUCCAGCCCACAGCAGCCAAAAGGUUGGACCCCCCCCUGGCUUAUAUCAACAAGCAACGUCCACAACAAGCCCAGGUCUGUUCAUCCCUCCAACCAAGAGGCACAACAAGUCCAGCUCAGGUCUGGACACAGGCGGAGUUGAAAAGUGAGCCAAGGAUUGUAAAACAAAGAAAAACAGGAAUAACAACGACUGAUGUGUAGCCUCCUUCAUGCAGUCAGCGCCUUGGAAUGCUGAACAAAGGUAAAGCAAGUGGUGAACGAGCACACUGAGUGAAGAGCACAAGCGAACGAAGAUUCAGAGCUGAGCACGGGCAGAUGCGAGGCAGUGCCACUCUGCUCCUGUACUUCCCCUGACAUUCACCCAUCA